AUUAGAAUGGCAGAGUCUAGUAAUUGCAAAAGAUCUAAAAUCUUUCAUUCAGGGGUUCAAUUCCCCUUUCUAAUU
rnacentral:tRNA from 1 species